rnacentral:misc_RNA from 1 species
GUUACUUUUUUGGAAAAGAGUUGGUCAUGGAUAGGAGAGAACAGGAAAUUGCGCAAUGGUUGGUAGAGGAUGAAGGAGGUUCUGACGAUGAAGAAGUUGGAGGGUCAGGUUUCUUAUCUUAAAAAACCAAAUAAAGCGGUUCUGUUGUUAUCUUUUAUGCCAGCCUCAACUGACAAGCAGAAACCUGAAAUAAUAACAUUUUAAAACAGCACUAAAUGAGGAGUGGACACCAAUAAUCCCGUGUGUGGUACAUUCAACAUAGGGAGGUGAACCAAACGGUGGCCGUUAGCCAUUUCCUUCCACCUGAUAGAUGUUUCAGGCAUAAAUUCACUCAUUGUACAUCGAGUAAAU